ACCUCUGGACUGGAUUAAGUAAAAUAUGAGACAUGGCAACAUUGUUGCCUUGCACUCAUUAUUUCUCCUUUAUCUAGCAAAGGGGAAAAGAGAACAUGAAAAGAGAAAACACAAGGAGGCCCUGUGAAGAAAUAUUGAAGAUCAAGUGGACUUUUCAAAAACAUUUGGCAGCCGUACAUUCAACAUAUGACACUAUGUUUCCUAAUAAAAUGAAAAAAAAUUAGGCCAUA